GCUUGGCUGGCUCAGCUGGAAGAGCAUGUGACUCUUGAUCUCGAGGUUGUGAGUUCAAGCCCUAUGUUGGGUA
rnacentral:tRNA from 1 species